rnacentral:Y_RNA from 1 species
UGCUAGUCCUAUGGUAGUGGGUUAUCAGAACUUGUCAACAUUAGUCUCACUAAAGUUGAUAUACAAUCCCCUACUGCUAAAUUUGACUAACUUAA